CGGGGCGGGCCCGGCGCGGCGCGCGCGGCGGCUGCAGGGGGACGUGAGGCCCGUGAGGUCGAUGCCGGGGAUGCGAGGGGAUCACAGCAUCAGCCGGCUCCCGGCUUGUCUGGAUGCUCUGAUUAGCAAGACCUACUGGGAUAAGGGACUGGAAGUGAGAGGAAGAAUGACAAAUCAGUAAGUAUAAUUAUUCCUUUCCUUCUUGAAGAUGCUCAGAAGAAAUCUUUAUGUAAUAAAUUGAAUUUAGCAAUGCCUGGGGGAGCCCCC
rnacentral:lncRNA from 1 species